UUGGAGGGCAAGUCUGGUGCCAGCAGCCGCGGUAAUUCCAGCUCCAAUAGCGUAUAUUAAAGUUGUUGCAGUUAAAAAGCUCGUAGUUGAAUUUCGGGAUCAAUUUAUUGGUCGUGCUUUGGUACGUACUGGUAUCAUUGAUUCCUCCCUUCUGACGAACCAUGAUGUCAUUAAUUUGGUGUUUUGGGGAAUCAGGACUGUUACUUUGAAAAAAUUAAAGUGGUUAAAGCAGG
rnacentral:rRNA from 1 species